GACGAACGCUGGCGGCGGGCUUAACACAUGCAAGUCGAACGGGAAGCCCCUACUUUUGUUUGAUGCUCAAUGGGCAAACGGGUGAGUAACACGUGAGUAACCUGCCCUUGACUUUGGGAUAACUUCAGGAAACUGGGUCUAAUACCGGAUACAAACUCCUGCUGCAUAGUGUGGGUUGUAACGUUUCGGCUGUUUGGGCUGGAUUCGCGGCUUAUCGGCUUGUUGGUGGGGUAGUGGCUUACCCAAGCUUUGAAGGGUAGCCGGCCUGGGAGGGUGAACGGCGACAUGGGGACUGUGGUACGGAGCAGACUCGUACGGGAGGCAGUAGUGGGAAAUAUUGCACAAUGGGGGGAAGCGUGAUGAAGAACCGCCGCGUGCGGGAUGACGGCCUUCGGGUUGUAAACCGCUUUAGACUGUGACGCAGCGUGAGUGACGGUAAUGGGUAAAGAAGCACCGGCUAACUACGUG
rnacentral:rRNA from 1 species